UACGUAGGGUGCGAGCGUUGUCCGGAAUUAUUGGGCGUAAAGGGCUCGUAGGCGGUUUGUCACGUCGGGAGUGAAAACUCGGGGCUUAACCCCGAGCCUGCUUCCGAUACGGGCAGACUAGAGGUAUGCAGGGGAGAACGGAAUUCCUGGUGUAGCGGUGAAAUGCGCAGAUAUCAGGAGGAACACCGGUGGCGAAGGCGGUUCUCUGGGCCGAAAUUGACGCUGAGGAGCGAAAGCGUGGGGAGCGAACAGG
rnacentral:rRNA from 1 species